GGGACACGUGGUAUCCUGUCUGAAUAUGGGGGGACCAUCCUCCAAGGCUAAAUACUCCUGACUGACCGAUAGUGAACCAGUACCGUGAGGGAAAGGCGAAAAGAACCCCGGCGAGGGGAGUGAAAAAGAACCUGAAACCGUGUACGUACAAGCAGUGGGAGCACGCUUAGGCGUGUGACUGCGUACCUUUUGUAUAAUGGGUCAGCGACUUAUAUUCUGUAGCAAGGUUAACCGAAUAGGGGAGCCGAAGGGAAACCGAGUCUUAACUGGGCGUUAAGUUGCAGGGUAUAGACCCGAAACCCGGUGAUCUAGCCAUGGGCAGGUUGAAGGUUGGGUAACACUAACUGGAGGACCGAACCGACUAAUGUUGAAAAAUUAGCGGAUGACUUGUGGCUGGGGGUGAAAGGCCAAUCAAACCGGGAGAUAGCUGGUUCUCCCCGAAAGCUAUUUAGGUAGCGCCUCGUGAAUUCAUCUCCGGGGGUAGAGCACUGUUUCGGCAAGGGGGUCAUCCCGACUUACCAACCCGAUGCAAACUGCGAAUACCGGAGAAUGUUAUCACGGGAGACACACGGCGGGUGCUAACGUCCGUCGUGAAGAGGGAAACAACCCAGACCGCCAGCUAAGGUCCCAAAGUCAUGGUUAAGUGGGAAACGAUGUGGGAAGGCCCAGACAGCCAGGAUGUUGGCUUAGAAGCAGCCAUCAUUUAAAGAAAGCGUAAUAGCUCACUGGUCGAGUCGGCCUGCGCGGAAGAUGUAACGGGGCUAAACCAUGCACCGAAGCUGCGGCAGCGACGCUUAUGCGUUGUUGGGU
rnacentral:rRNA from 1 species